rnacentral:rRNA from 1 species
UAGGGAAUCUUCGGCAAUGGACGAAAGUCUGACCGAGCGACGCCGCGUGAGUGAAGAAGGUUUUCGGAUCGUAAAACUCUGUUGUUAGAGAAGAACAAGGGUGAGAGUAACUGUUCACCCCUUGACGGUAUCUAACCAGAAAGCCACGGCUAACUACGUACAG